UACGGAGGGUGCGAGCGUUGUCCGGAAUCAUUGGGCGUAAAGGGCGCGUAGGUGGCGGGACAAGCGUGCGGUGAAAGCCUGGGGCUCAACCCCGGGUCGGCCGUGCGAACUGUUUUGCUUGAGCACUGUAGAGGCAGGCGGAAUUCCGGGUGUAGCGGUGGAAUGCGUAGAGAUCCGGAGGAAGACCGGUGGCGAAGGCGGUCUGCUGGGCAGUUUCUGACACUGAGGCGCGACGAGCG
rnacentral:rRNA from 1 species